GAUGAACGCUGGCAGUGUGCCUUAGACAUGCAAGUCGAACGAACGAUGCUGGGCUUGCCUAGCAAAGUUAGUGGCAAACGGGUGAGUAACACGUAGGUCAUCUACCUUUAGACGGGGUAUAACAGUUGGAAACGGCUGCUAAUCCCCCAUAGACUCUGCGGAGUAAAGAUUAUAUCGUCUAAAGAUGAGCCUGCGGCGCAUCAGCUAGUUGGUGGGGUAAAGGCCUACCAAGGCAACGACGCGUAGCCGACCUGAGAGGGUGACCGGCCACAGGGGCACUGAGACACGGGUCCCACUCCUACGGGAGGCAGCAGUUAGGAAUCUUCCGCAAUGGGCGCAAGCCUGACGGAGCGACACUGCGUGAGGGAAGACGGCCUUAGGGUUGUAAACCUCUGAACCAAGGACGAAAAUGACGGUACUUGGGUAAUAGCACCGGCUAACUUCG
rnacentral:rRNA from 1 species